AAUAAGUGCAGUUUUACACUAUUCACGUUUAACGUUUGACCGUUCGUCUUAGUUGAAUUUUUUUUAUGAUUAGUAUUUUUAUUGCUAUUAGAUGAUAAAACAUGAAUAAUACUUUAUGUGUGACUACAUAUUUUCAAAUUUUUCAUAUUUUUUUUAAAUAAGACGAACGGUCAAACGUUGGGCACGGAUAUCCACGGUGCACUUAUU
rfam:Oryza rufipogon genomic scaffold, chr03